rnacentral:rRNA from 1 species
AUUGAACGCUGGCGGCAGGCUUAACACAUGCAAGUCGAGCGGAGUGAUGGUGCUUGCACUAUCACUUAGCGGCGGACGGGUGAGUAAUGCUUAGGAAUCUGCCUAUUAGUGGGGGACAACAUCUCGAAAGGGCUGCUAAUACCGCAUACGUCCUACGGGAGAAAGCAGGGGAUCACUUGUGACCUUGCGCUAAUAGAUGAGCCUAAGUCGGAUUAGCGAGUUGGUGGGGUAAAGGCCUACCAAGGCGACGAUCUGUAGCGGGUCUGAGAGGAUGAUCCGCCACACUGGGACUGAGACACGGCCCAGACUCCUACGGGAGGCAGCAGUGGGGAAUAUUGGACAAUGGGGGGAACCCUGAUCCAGCCAUGCCGCGUGUGUGAAGAAGGCCUUAUGGUUGUAAAGCACUUUAAGCGAGGAGGAGGCUCUUUUGGUUAAUACCCAAGAUGAGUGGACGUUACUCGCAGAAUAAGCACCGGCUAACUCUGUGCCAGCCGCCGCAGUAA